rnacentral:rRNA from 1 species
UACGUAGGGUGCGAGCGUUGCCCGGAUUCAUUGGGCGUAAAGGGUGCGUAGGUGGCGCCGUAAGUCAGGUGUGAAAUUUCGGAGCUUAACUCCGAAACUGCAUUUGAUACUGCGGUGCUUGAGGACUGGAGAGGAGACUGGAAUUCACGGUGUAGCAGUGAAAUGCGUAGAUAUCGUGAGGAAGACCAGUGGCGAAGGCGGGUCUCUGGACAGUUCCUGACACUGAGGCACGAAGGCCAGGGGAGCAAACGGG